rnacentral:rRNA from 1 species
UACGUAGGGUGCAAGCGUUGUCCGGAAUUAUUGGGCGUAAAGAGCUCGUAGGCGGUCUGUCGCGUCGGCUGUGAAAACUUGGGGCUCAACCCCAAGCCUGCAGUCGAUACGGGCAGACUAGAGGUAUGCAGGGGAGAACGGAAUUCCUGGUGUAGCGGUGAAAUGCGCAGAUAUCAGGAGGAACACCGGUGGCGAAGGCGGUUCUCUGGGCAUUACCUGACGCUGAGGAGCGAAAGCGUGGGGAGCAAACAGG